rnacentral:rRNA from 2 species
CCACCUCUUCCCAUUCCGAACAGAGAAGUUAAGCCCGGUCACGCCGAUGGUACUGCGUAACAGUGGGAGAGUAGGUAGUCGCCGUUU